UUNGGGGANGGAAUGACAGGUGGUGCAUGGUUGUNGUNAGNUNGUGUCGUGAGAUGUUGGGUUAAGUNNCGCAACGAGCGCAACCCUUAUUGUCAGUUGCCAGCAUUUAGUUGGGCACUCUGGCGAGACUGCCGGUGACAAACCGGAGGAAGGUGGGGAUGACGUCAAAUCAUCAUGCCCCUUAUGACCUGGGCUACACACGUGCUACAAUGGACGGUACAACGAGUCGCGAAACCGCGAGGUCAAGCUAAUCUCUUAAAGCCGUUCUCAGUUCGGAUUGUAGGCUGCAACUCGCCUACAUGAAGUUGGAAUCGCUAGUAAUCGUGGAU
rnacentral:rRNA from 1 species